GAUGAACGCUGGCAGCGUGCCUAACACAUGCAAGUCGAGCGGAAAGGCCCUGCUUGCAGGGUACUCGAGUGGCGAACGGGUGAGUAACACGUGGGUGAUCUGCCCUGCACUUCGGGAUAAGCCUGGGAAACUGGGUCUAAUACCGGAUAGGAGCCAUUUUUAGUGUGAUGGUUGGAAAGUUUUUUCGGUGUAGGAUGAGCUCGCGGCCUAUCAGCUUGUUGGUGGGGUAAUGGCCUACCAAGGCGGCGACGGGUAGCCGGACUGGGAGGGUGGACGGCCACAUUGGGACUGAGAUACGGCCCAGACUCCUACGGGAGGCAGCAGUGGGGAAUAUUGCACAAUGGGCGCGAGCCUGAUGCAGCGACGCCGCGUGGGGGAUGACGGCCUUCGGGUUGUAAACUCCUUUCGCUAGGGACGAAGCUUUUUGUGACGGUACCUAGAUAAGAAGCACCGGCUAACUACGUGCCAGCAGCCGCAGUAAGAC
rnacentral:rRNA from 1 species